rnacentral:rRNA from 1 species
UACGGAGGGUGCGAGCGUUAAUCGGAAUUACUGGGCGUAAAGGGUGCGUAGGUGGUUAGAUAAGUUAUCUGUGAAAUUCCUGGGCUUAACCUGGGCAGGUCAGAUAAGUACUGUUUGACUCGAGUAUGGGAGAGGGUAGUGGAAUUUCCGGUGUAGCGGUGAAAUGCGUUAGAGAUCGGAAGGAACACCAGUGGCGAAGGCGGCUACCUGGCCUGAUACUGACACUGAGGCACGAAAGCGUGGGGAGCAAACAGG